GGGGCGAAAGACUAAUCGAACCAUCUAGUAGCUGGUUCCCUCCGAAGUUUCCCUCAGGAUAGCUGGCGCUCUCGCACACACCCCCACCUCCCACGCAGUUUU
rnacentral:rRNA from 1 species